rnacentral:rRNA from 1 species
AUCAAAUUAUUUCGUGGAUUGGAUUUCACUUGCCUGUCUAUGGUUCCCUUGCGUGUGCUCGGGAUAGGUGUUUUGUAUAAAUGUUUCACUGAAAACAUAUCUUGUGGACGGCCUAAAGCACUCAUGGUAUCAUUAUGA